rnacentral:rRNA from 1 species
AACGAACGCUGGCGGCGUGGAUUAGGCAUGCAAGUCGAACGUGAAAGCACCGACGUAGCAAUACGAAGGUGCAAGUAAAGUGGCGAACGGGUGAGUAACGCGUGGGAAACCUGCUCCAGAGUGGGGGAUAACAGUUCUAACGGACUGCUAAUACCGCAUGAUGCUACGGGUCGAUGACUUCGUAGUUGAAGGAGGCCUCUGUUUCAAGCUUUCGCUCCGGAAUGGUCCCGCGCCUAUUAGCUUGUUGGUGGGGUAACGGCCUACCAAGGCAACGAUGGGUAGCCGGCCUGAGAGGGUGGUCGGCCACACUGGGACUGAGAUACGGCCCAGACUCCUACGGGAGGCAGCAGUCGAGAGGCUUCGGCAAUGGGGAAACCCUGACCGAGCGACGCCGCGUGGGUGAUGAAGAUUCUCGGAUCGUAAAACCCUGUCAGGUGGGAUGAAAUACCAUUCGGUUAACACCCGAGUGGCUUGACAGUACCACCAGAGGAAGCUCCGGCUAACUCCGUGCCAGC